GUGAGGAAUAUUGGUCAAUGGGCGGGAGCCUGAACCAGCCAAGUCGCGUGAAGGAAGAAGGAUCUAUGGUUCGUAAACUUCUUUUGCAGGGGAAUAAAGUGCAGGACGUGUCCUGUUUUGUAUGUACCCUGAGAAUAAGGAUCGGCUAACUCCGUGCCAGCAGCCGCGGUAAUACGGAGGAUCCGAGCGUUAUCCGGAUUUAUUGGGUUUAAAGGGUGCGUAGGUGGUUUGAUAAGUCAGCGGUGAAAGGUUGCAGCUUAACUGUAAAAAUGCCGUUGAAACUGUCGGACUUGAGUGUAAAUGAGGUAGGCGGAAUGCGUGGUGUAGCGGUGAAAUGCAUAGAUAUCACGCAGAACUCCGAUUGCGAAGGCAGCUUACUAAGCUACAACUGACACUGAAGCACGAAAGCGUGGGGAUCAAACAGGAUUAGAUACCCUGGUAGUCC
rnacentral:rRNA from 1 species